rnacentral:rRNA from 1 species
CCUACGGGGGGCAGCAGUGAGGAAUAUUGGUCAAUGGACGAGAGUCUGAACCAGCCAAGCAGCGUGAAGGAUGACUGCUCUAUGGGUUGUAAACUUCUUUUAUAUGGGAAUAAAACGUUCCACGUGUGGGAUGUUGUAUGUACCAUAUGAAUAAGGAUCGGCUAACUCCGUGCCAGCAGCCGCGGUAAUACGGAGGAUCCGAGCGUUAUCCGGAUUUAUUGGGUUUAAAGGGAGCGUAGGUGGAUUGUUAAGUCAGUGGUGAAAUUUUGCGGCUCAACCGUGAAAUUGCAUUUGAAACUGGCAGUCUUGAGUACAGUAGAGGUAGGCGGAAUUCGUGGUGUAGCGGUGAAAUGCUUAGAUAUCACGAAGAACUCCGAUUGCGAAGGCAGUUCACUGGACUGCAACUGACACUGAGGCUCGAAAGUGUGGGUAGCAAACAGGAUUAGAUACCCCGGUAGUC